GCCAAUCCUAGGGAUGUAGACUGCAGGAGAGAAACCAGUUCACACUUAUGCCUAGGUGGGAACCUAGCAAUAAGAAGGCUAUCAGAAGUCAAGAGAAGAAGCAACUGCAAUAUUCAGUCUGCUGGUCAAGGAAGGCUUAUCAUAUGAUGGCGGAACUCAUUGGAAAGGAUGAUCAUGCUUGAUAAAGUGAAAGGAAGUAGGAAAAGAGGGACACAGUGCUACAGAUGGAUUGAUUUGAUCAAGUAGGCCACAAUUGCACUGAGUUUGGAAGACCUGAGCAGGUAGUUGAGGACCAGCCUCCUGAAGGUCUCUCAGUCCUAGAGACACCAGAAGACAACUUGAUUGCAAAUAACACAAACAAAAGGAAGCUCUGAGCACAAUUAUAUGGCAGUUGCAUACAGGAAAACAUGGAGUGAGUCCUGCAGUGGUAAGAUUCAGAUGAGCAUCCAGAGCAGAGUUUUUAAGAUGAGCUUGUUCCACUCUGAAUUCCUUUCCAAGAGCAUUAAAGUACUGUAUAGACAAGGCAUUAAAAUUGUAAUGUAUCUUCAAAACUGAAGCCGCUGUUCACAUCAGCAUGGGCCCUGCUAGCCGUCUCCGCUAACCUUGACCUUCUGCAAGCAACUUCUGCUACCUCAUCAGUGAGGAAGUAGAAAGAGGUGUUCCAGCCGUCAAAAUAAGUACAACUGACAGGCUCCGAUCACUCCCACAACCUGAGUGCCGUACGUGUGCCUCAGUGCAGAGACAGCCUGACAGUUCAGAGAAUGCUCCUCACUGUGUGAGGCCACUGAAACAGCAUCAAGUUUUACAGGACUGUUGCACAUCUCCUCAAGCAUGAAUGUGAACUGAAGGGCUAAGAAAACUUGCAGCAGGGAGUAACACACUAAGUUGCAAGCUGCACGGUCCUGUAGAUCUCAGAUGCAAGACACAACACAAGCAGCGUAGUCUUCUCAACAGGCCAUGGCUCAAUUUUGAAACAAGCUGUGCGACCUCCAUGGCCCUGUAACUCUUGGCAAGGAUGCUCAUCUUCUGUAACCAAGAAAACUGAAGCCAAAAAUACCUCAAAGGGAAACUGUAUUCAAACUCAGUACUGUUGUUACUUAUUGAAAUGAUCAUGGAUAUUUCUAGGAGAAAGUGUGACAUACAAUUUAGAAAACAGAUGGAGAAAAAAAUCAGCAUCAUUAGACAGUACAAGCAGAACACUGUACAGAUCAGCAAUCUCUAUGAACAUUACAUAAACUGUAUCUAUGCUAAAUAUAACCUGGGAACAACUAAUCAGGGAUAAGAAGACCACCUAGACACCAGCAUGCACACGAACACAACAAAAGACUACCUGCAUGCACCUGAAUACAACCAACCUGUGUCAUGCAGAUCAUGAACAUGCCACACACAGUGUGCCCAGAACUCUAGAAAGCAAACAACUGAAGGAAUUAAGUAAGCUAUGGGCCUGAACUGACAGGCCAAAUGAAGCAGCUUUGAGCCACUUUGGAGGCGUGCUGUUUAAACAACACACAUGUCUUAAGAGGCCAGAAGCCACACUU